CACGUAGGGCGCAAGCGUUGUCCGGAAUUAUUGGGCGUAAAGAGCUCGUAGGCGGUCUGUUGCGUCCGCUGUGAAAACUCGCGGCUCAACCGCGAGCCUGCACCCGAUACGGGCGGGCUAGAGUUCGGCAGGGGAGACUGGAAUUCCUGGUGUAGCGGUGGAAUGCGCAGAUAUCAGGAGGAACACCGGUGGCGAAGGCGGGUCUCUGGGCCGAUACUGACGCUGAGAAGCGAAAGCGUGGGGAGCGAACAGG
rnacentral:rRNA from 1 species